UUGAACGCUGGCGGCAUGCCUUACACAUGCAAGUCGAACGGUAGAGGAGCAAUCCUCGAGAGUGGCGAACGGGUGAGUAAUAUAUCGGAACGUGCCCAGUCGUGGGGGAUAACGCAGCGAAAGCUGUGCUAAUACCGCAUACGAUCUAUGGAUGAAAGCGGGGGAUCGCAAGACCUCGCGCGAUUGGAGCGGCCGAUAUCAGAUUAGGUAGUUGGUGGGGUAAAGGCCCACCAAGCCGACGAUCUGUAGCUGGUCUGAGAGGACGACCAGCCACACUGGAACUGAGACACGGUCCAGACUCCUACGGGAGGCAGCAGUGGGGAAUUUUGGACAAUGGGCGCAAGCCUGAUCCAGCAAUGCCGCGUGCAGGAUGAAGGCCUUCGGGUUGUAAACUGCUUUUGUACGGAACGAAACGGUCUGCUCUAAUACAGUGGGCUAAUGACGGUACCGUAAGAAUAAGCACCGGCUAACUACGU
rnacentral:rRNA from 1 species